rnacentral:lncRNA from 1 species
AAACACGCCUCUGCCCCUGUGUCUACAACACCCAUUCAGGCAAAGCACAGUAUGCUGCGAAUCUGCUUUACUGGGAGCCAGUGGUCGUUUAGGUCUCUGUUCCCUCACCUGCAAAAUUAAGUUGACUCUAAGGUCAACUUUGGUCACCUCCUAGUUCACAUUGUCUAACAGUAGCCCGUACUCCCCAAUCUGGUAUCCUUUGUCUCCUGAAAGGACCCAGCAGUCCAAGGUCCAAGGGAGGAAUUCAGAAGCAACACUGUUUAAUCUAGAAAAAUACGUUAAAUUGCUGGGCUGAGACUGACAGUCAAAGGUCCCAAAGCAAAAACAACUGAGAGUCCCAUGAUACUGGCCUAGCUGCUUUUCUAAUAUUUGCCUUACUCAGCGGACACAGCAGAAAGAAAGAAGGAAUUAAAAACUGCUGGACUUGGAGCACAAUGGUCAAGGCCACACAUGACACGUCACU